rnacentral:tRNA from 1 species
GGCACUUUGGCGGAGUGGUUAACGCGCUGGCCUGCUAGUCUUCUGUAUAGAAGGAAGUCAGCCAGUUCCUUCGGGAGCGUGUGUUCGAAUCACACAGGUGUCG